UACGUAGGGUGCAAGCGUUGUCCGGAAUUAUUGGGCGUAAAGAGCUCGUAGGCGGUUAGUCGCGUCUGCUGUGAAAACUCGGGGCUUAACUCCGGGCCUGCAGUGGGUACGGGCUGACUAGAGUGCGGUAGGGGAGACUGGAAUUCCUAGUGUAGCGGUGAAAUGCGCAGAUAUCAGGAGGAACACCGGUGGCGAAGGCGGGUCUCUGGGCCGUAACUGACGCUGAGGAGCGAAAGCGUGGGGAGCGAACAGG
rnacentral:rRNA from 1 species